rnacentral:rRNA from 1 species
UACGAGGGGGGCGAGCGUUGUUCGGAAUUAUUGGGCGUAAAGGGUGCGUAGGCGGUUUGGUAAGUCUGAUGUGAAAUCUAUGGGCUCAACUCAUAGUCUGCAUCGGAAACUGCCGGGCUUGAGUUUGGGAGAGGUGAGUGGAAUUCCUGGUGUAGCGGUGAAAUGCGUAGAUAUCAGGAGGAACACCUGUGGCGAAAGCGGCUCACUGGACCAUAACUGACGCUGAUGCACGAAAGCUAGGGGAGCAAACAGG